rnacentral:rRNA from 1 species
GCAAUGAACUAGGCUUAAGUUGAUCCUGGCUCAGAAACAAGGCGUAUAGGCAGGCCUAACACAUGCAGUCGAACGGUAGCGCAGAGAGCUUGCUCUCGGGUGACGGGUGGCGGACGGGUGAGUAAUGUCUGGGAAACUGCCCGAUGGAGGGGGAUAACUACUGGAAACGGUAGCUAAUACCGCAUAACGUCUUCGGACCAAAGUGGGGGACCUUCGGGCCUCACACCAUCGGAUGUGCCCAGAUGGGAUUAGCUAGUAGGUGGGGUAAUGGCUCACCUAGGCGACGAUCCCUAGCUGGUCUGAGAGGAUGACCAGCCACACUGGAACUGAGACACGGUCCAGACUCCUACGGGAGGCAGCAGUGGGGAAUAUUGCACAAUGGGCGCAAGCCUGAUGCAGCCAUGCCGCGUGUAUGAAGAAGGCCUUCGGGUUGUAAAGUACUUUCAGCGGGGAGGAAGGCGAUGGAGUUAAUAGCUUCAUCGAUUGACGUUACCCGCAGAAGAAGCACCGGCUAACUCCGUGCCAGCAGCCGCGGUAAUACGGAGGGUGCAAGCGUUAAUCGG